rnacentral:lncRNA from 1 species
GAGGGAGGAGGAGGAAGCGCGCCUCGGCCGCCGCAGUUGGAGUCGGAGCAGGGGAGAACAGCUUCAAAAAAUUAUUAAAAAUCGAGGAAAAAUCCUAGAAACUCUCUGUGGGCCUGAAAAUCCCAGAGAGACCCCAGGCUCCCUGGAAUAGAGGUUUCGGGUGUCAGUAAGCAGGGGUCAGAUGUGGCAGGUGAAUCCUGGCUGAAGGAGAGAGGAAGCACCGAGGUCCACAUCCAUGGUGCUGAUGACAUGAAGUCCCCUGAGGCAUACACAAUUAUAUCAAGCAAGCAGUGACAUUGGAGUCAGCUGUGGGAAUACACAGCGGGGUCGUCUUCACAUCCCCGCGGAUGGUGACAGAGCCAGCGAAGAUUGUAGAAGUGAGAACUGUGCUGUUGCAUCCUCAGGCAAAUGAUUUCUUCUGUAAAUGUCUUCUCGGCAUGUCUAUGAAGAGACAUCCUCAGAGCCAAACUGCCUUCAUCGUCAUCACAUCUGUUUGCAAGAGACAGUCAUAGCUGACGAUGUUGACUGUGACCUACUUUUAUAUAAGGGGCACAGAGCAUCAUGGGACUUUCAUGUGAGUAUCCAGACACCCCCCCCAAGCCAGCUGUUUGAAAUUCUAAUUGUACAAAGCCUCAAGGAGUCUGUGAUGGCUAAUCUUGGUUGUCAACUUGAAUAUAUCUAGAAUCAACUAAAUCCCAAGCAGCUAGGGGUUGAGAAAAUUUCAUGAUCGAAUCAUAUGAGGUCAGAAGACUCACUCUAAAUCUGGGCUACACCUUCUGGUGGCAUCCCACAUAAAAAGGACACGGAACAAGGAAAGUUUUGCUUUUUGCCUGCUUGUCUUCACUCUCGGUGGCAAGUUCAUCUAGUCUGCUGCUGUGGCAUUCUUUCACUGGUGUUAGAACCUACUCCUUCAUGACUGAAGACUAGCCAGGUGGGCUGAAUACUACUAAAUUCAUGGCCUUUUUUUUUUUUUUUUUUUUUUUGAGCGAGAGAUA